rnacentral:rRNA from 1 species
AGAGUUUGAUCAUGGCUCAGGACGAACGCUGGCGGCGUGCCUAACACAUGCAAGUCGAACGGACGAGGCCCCUUCGGGGACCGAGUUAGUGGCGGACGGGUGAGUAACGCGUGAGCAACCUGCCUUUCAGAGGGGGACAACAGUUGGAAACGACUGCUAAUACCGCAUGAUGCAGCGAGAUCGCAUGGUCUUGCUGUCAAAGAUUUAUCGCUGAAAGAUGGGCUCGCGUCUGAUUAGCUAGUUGGAGGGGUAACGGCCCACCAAGGCGACGAUCAGUAGCCGGACUGAGAGAUUGAACGGCCACAUUGGGACUGAGAUACGGCCCAGACUCCUACGGGAGGCAGCAGUGGGGAAUAUUGGGCAAUGGGGGAAACCCUGACCCAGCAACGCCGCGUGAAGGAAGAAGGCUUUCGGGUUGUAAACUUCUUUUACCAGGGACGAAGAACGUGACGGUACCUGGAGAAAAAGCCACGGCUAACUACGUGCCAGCAGCCGCGGUAAUACGUAGGUGGCAAGCGUUGUCCGGAUUUACUGGGUGUAAAGGGCGUGUAGGCGGAGCUGCAAGUCAGAUGUGAAAUCUGGGGGCUUAACCCUCAAACUGCAUUUGAAACUGUAGCCCUUGAGUAUCGGAGAGGCAGGCGGAAUUCCUAGUGUAGCGGUGAAAUGCGUAGAUAUUAGGAAGAACACCAGUGGCGAAGGCGGCCUGCUGGACGACAACUGACGCUGAGGCGCGAAAGCGUGGGGAGCAAACAGGAUUAGAUACCCUGGUAGUCCACGCUGUAAACGAUGAAUACUAGGUGUGGGGGGACUGACCCCCUCCGUGCCGGAGUUAACACAAUAAGUAUUCCACCUGGGGAGUACGACCGCAAGGUUGAAACUCAAAGGAAUUGACGGGGGCCCGCACAAGCAGUGGAUUAUGUGGUUUAAUUCGACGCAACGCGAAGAACCUUACCGGGAUUUGACAUCCUACUAACGAAGCAGAGAUGCAUUAGGUGCCCUUCGGGGAAAGUAGAGACAGGUGGUGCAUGGUUGUCGUCAGCUCGUGUCGUGAGAUGUUGGGUUAAGUCCCGCAACGAGCGCAACCCCUAUUGUUAGUUGCUACGCAAGAGCACUCUAGCGAGACUGCCGUUGACAAAACGGAGGAAGGCGGGGACGACGUCAAAUCAUCAUGCCCCUUAUGUCCCGGGCUACACACGUAAUACAAUGGCGGUCAACAAAGGGAAGCAAAGCCGCGAGGCAGAGCAAACCCCCAAAAGCCGUCUCAGUUCGGAUUGCAGGCUGCAACUCGCCUGCAUGAAGCUGGAAUUGCUAGUAAUCGUGGAUCAGAAUGCCACGGUGAAUACGUUCCCGGGCCUUGUACACACCGCCCGUCACACCAUGAGAGUCGGGAACACCCGAAGUCCGUAGUCUAACCCGCAAGGGAGGGCGCGGCCGAAGGUGGGUCUGAUAAUUGGGGUGAAGUCGUAACAAGGUA